GAUGAACGCUGGCGGCGUGCCUAAUACAUGCAAGUCGAGCGAACAGACGAGGAGCUUGCUCCUUUGACGUUAGCGGCGGACGGGUGAGUAACACGUGGGUAACCUACCUAUAAGACUGGGAUAACUUCGGGAAACCGGAGCUAAUACCGGAUAAUAUUUCGAACCGCAUGGUUCGAUAGUGAAAGAUGGCUUUGCUAUCACUUAUAGAUGGACCUGCGCCGUAUUAGCUAGUUGGUAAGGUAACGGCUUACCAAGGCAACGAUACGUAGCCGACCUGAGAGGGUGAUCGGCCACACGGGACCUGAGCCCCGGUCCAGCCUCCUACGGGAGGCAGCGGUAGGGAAUCUUCCGAAAUGGGCGAAAGCCUGACGGAGCAACGCCGCGUGAGUGAUGAAGGUCUUCGGAUCGUAAAACUCUGUUAUUAGGGAAGAACAAACGUGUAAGUAACUGUGCACGUUUGGCCGGUACCUAAUCAGAAAGCCCCGGCUAACUACGU
rnacentral:rRNA from 1 species